GAUGAAGAACGCAGCGAAAUGCGAAAAGUAGUGUGAAUUGCAGAAUUCAGUGAAUCAUCGAAUCUUUGAACGCACAUUGCGCCCCUCGGUAUUCCGUGGGGCAUGCCUGUUCGAGCGUCAUUUACCCCUCAAGCACUGCUUGGUGUUGGGCGUCUGUCCCGCUUCGCGCGCGGACUCGCCCCAAAGGUAUUGGCAGCGGUCGUGCCAGCUUCUCGCGCAGCACAUUGCGCUUCUCGAGGCGGUCGAUCGGCGUCCACGAAGCUCACCUCCACCGUUUGACCUCGGAUCAGGUAGGGAUACCCGCUGAACUUAAGCAUAUCAAUAAGCGGAGGA
rnacentral:misc_RNA from 1 species